AUGCUUAGAAGCUGCUUUGCCUGCCUUUUUUGACUUCAAACCAUUCACACACUUCAUUAUCUGAUGCCACGCUAAGAAGCUGCUUUGCCUGCCUUUUGUGGCAUCAAUCUGUUACAUUGAUAAAGACAAUCAUUGAACUUGGAACUCAAAUGAUAGAAGAUACAUAACUAGGUUCAGGUUUUAAUAGCAAGUUGCACAAGCACAGCAAGCAUAGUACUUACAACAUAUACGAAUUUAAAACCCUUAUUACUGUGGAGAAAAAUCUGGCUGGCCUACUGAUGAAGACUUUGAUGCCUCCAUUACAACAUAAGCUUGAUCCAAACAGCUUUGAGUAUCAUCACCAAUUGUCAUCUUCUCCACUUCUUCUUGGGUAUAAAUAUGGAUCUUGGAUACCACAUUACAGAACUCAUGCCAUGGAUCAUCCCCAACAACCAUUACAUCAUUCUCGCUGUCAGUAUACAAGAUCCG
rnacentral:misc_RNA from 1 species